rnacentral:rRNA from 1 species
AGAAUGAACGCUGGCGGCGUGCUUAACACAUGCAAGUCGAACGGAAUCCAAGGAGCUUGCUCUGGAAGAUUUAGUGGCGAACGGGUGAGUAUCACGUGAGCAACCUGCCCCGAAGACUGGGAUAACACCGGGAAACCGGUGCUAAUACCGGAUACCUUCCAAUGACCGCAUGGUCGAUGGAAGAAAUGUUUUUCGCUUCGGGAGGGGCUCGCGGUCCAUCAGCUUGUUGGCGGGGUAAUGGCCCACCAAGGCUUCGACGGAUAGCUGGUCUGAGAGGACGAUCAGCCACACUGGAACUGAGACACGGUCCAGACUCCUACGGGAGGCAGCAGUGGGGAAUCUUGCGCAAUGGGCGAAAGCCUGACGCAGCAACGCCGCGUGAGGGAUGAAGGUCUUCGGGUUGUAAACCUCUUUCGAGCAGGGACGAUUGUGACGGUACCUGCAGAAGAAGCUCCGGCCAACUACGUGCCAGCAGCCGC